GAACGGGGAUGCAUUAAGAAGGAGUGCUUGCAUUCCGGAAGGAUGUAUCUUAGUGGCGGACGGGUGAGUAACGCGUGGGUAACCUGCCCCAUACCGGGGGAUACCACCUGGAAACAGGUGCUAAUACCGCAUAAGCGCACGGGAGCGCAUGCUCCUGUGUGAAAAACUCCGGUGGUAUGGGAUGGACCCGCGUCUGAUUAGCCAGUUGGCAGGGUAACGGCCUACCAAAGCGACGAUCAGUAGCCGGCCUGAGAGGGUGGACGGCCACAUUGGGACUGAGACACGGCCCAAACUCCUACGGGAGGCAGCAGUGGGGAAUAUUGCACAAUGGGGGAAACCCUGAUGCAGCGACGCCGCGUGAGUGAAGAAGUAUUUCGGUAUGUAAAGCUCUAUCAGCAGGAACGAGACAAGACGGUACCUGACUAAGAAGCCCCGGCUAACUACGUGCCAGCAGCCGCGGUAAUACGUAGGGGGCAAGCGUUAUCCGGAAUCACUGGGUGUAAAGGGAGCGUAGACGGCUGUGCAAGCCUGAAGUGAAAGGCGGGGGCCCAACCCCCGGACUGCUUUGGGAACUGUACGGCUGGAGUGCAGGAGAGGUAAGUGGAAUUCCUAGUGUAGCGGUGAAAUGCGUAGAUAUUAGGAAAAACACCAGUGGCGAAGGCGGCUUACUGGACUGUAACUGACGUUGAGGCUCGAAAGCGUGGGG
rnacentral:rRNA from 1 species